rnacentral:rRNA from 1 species
CUUGGUCAUUUAGAGGAAGUAAAAGUCGUAACAAGGUUUCCGUAGGUGAACCUGCGGAAGGAUCAUUAACGAGUAAGUCGCAAGACUUCUUUCAUCCAACACCUGUGAAUUUUAAAUUUAUUUGCUUUGGCAGAAUUUCGGUUCUGCCAACAAUCAAAACCCCAAUUAAUUUGUUGUCUGAGUGUAGAAUACUAAAAUUCAAAACUUUCAACAACGGAUCUCUUGGUUCUCGCAUCGAUGAAGAACGCAGCGAAACGCGAUAUGUAAUGUGAAUUGCAGAAUUUUGUGAAUCAUCGAAUCUUUGAACGCACAUUGCGCCCUCUGGUAUUCCGGAGGGCAUACCUGUUUGAGCGUCAGUUCAUUCUCAAACUUAUUGUUUGGUGUUGGCUUGCUAAGCAUUUUCUUGCUUACGAGUUGAAAUAUAUUGGCUAAGCAUUCUUUUAGUAUUUACAACGUAUUAGGUUUUACCAACUCGUUGGAUCGUGUUGUUAGAAAAGGCUGGGCGAUAGAACAGAACUUAUAAAUUUGACCUCAAAUCAGGCAGGACUACCCGCUGAACUUAAGCAUAUCAAUAAGCGGAGGA